rnacentral:rRNA from 1 species
AACGUAGGAGACGAACGUUAUCCGGAGUUACUGGGCGUAAAGGGCGUGCAGGCGGCUUGAUAAGUUCGGCGUGAAAUUUCCCGGCUUAACCGGGGGAUGUCGUCGGAGACUGUCGAGCUAGAGGGUGAUAGAGGCGUGUGGAAUUCCGGGUGUAGUGGUGAAAUGCGUAGAGAUCAGGAGGAACACCAGUGGCGAAGGCGACACGCUGGGUCAUACCUGACGCUAAAACGCGACAGCAUGGGGAGCGAACGGG